rnacentral:rRNA from 1 species
GACAGAGGGGGCAAGCGUUGCUCGGAAUUACUGGGCGUAAAGGGCGCGUAGGCGGGAUGGCAAGUCAGUCGUGAAAUCUCUCGGCUCAACCGAGAAACGUCGGCUGAUACUGCCGUUCUUGAGGGAUGCAGAGGAGACUGGAAUUCCCGGUGUAGCGGUGAAAUGUGUAGAGAUCGGGAGGAACACCGGUGGCGAAGGCGGGUCUCUGGGCAUCUCCUGACGCUGAGGCGCGAAAGCGUGGGGAGCAAACGGG